rnacentral:rRNA from 1 species
UCAUCGUAGGGUUAGUCGGGUCCUAAGCUGAGUCCGAAAGGGGUAAGCGAUGGAAAAUCGGUUAAUAUUCCGAUACCAACUAUAGAGCGUGAUGGGAGGACGCAUAGGGCUAUGUGAGGUCACUGAUGGAAUAGUGGCUCGAAAGGUGUAGGCUGGGAGAGAAAGGAAAAUCCACUCUCCUAUAGCUGAGACCUGACAGGCUGUGGAGGCUCUUAGGAGCCAAAACAGAAUCACAGAUGCCGAAGUGCCAAGAAAAGUCUCUAAGCAUAUCUAUAGUUGCCCGUACCGUAAACCGACACAGGUGGGUGAGAUGAGAAUUCUAAGGCGCGUGGAAGAACCAUUGUUAAGGAACUCUGCAAACUAGCCCCGUAUCUUCGGUAGAAGGUGUGCCUACUUGGGUGAAGCCCCUAGCGGGUGGAGCCUGAGAGGUUGCAACAAAGAGUCCCUCCCGACUGUUUAC